UACGUAGGGUGCAAGCGUUAAUCGGAAUUACUGGGCGUAAAGCGUGCGCAGGCGGCUUUGCAAGACAGAUGUGAAAUCCCCGGGCUCAACCUGGGAACUGCAUUUGUGACUGCAAGGCUGGAGUACGGUAGAGGGGGAUGGAAUUCCGCGUGUAGCAGUGAAAUGCGUAGAUAUGCGGAGGAACACCGAUGGCGAAGGCAAUCCCCUGGACCUGUACUGACGCUCAUGCACGAAAGCGUGGGGAGCAAACAGG
rnacentral:rRNA from 1 species